CUUCGGGUUGUAAAGCUCUUUCGCAAGGGAAGAAACGAUACUGGUGAAUAUCCAGUGUUAAUGACGGUACCUUGAUAAGAAGCACCGGCUAACUACGUGCCAGCAGCCGCGGUAAUACGUAGGGUGCGAGCGUUAAUCGGAAUUACUGGGCGUAAAGCGUGCGCAGGCGGUUUUGUAAGUCAGAUGUGAAAUCCCCGAGCUCAACUUGGGAACUGCGUUUGAAACUACAAGACUAGAAUAGGUCAGAGGGGGGUAGAAUUCCACGUGUAGCAGUGAAAUGCGUAGAGAUGUGGAGGAAUAUCAAUGGCGAAGGCAGCCCCCUGGGAUCAUAUUGACGCUCAUGCACGAAAGCGUGGGGAGCAAACAGGAUUAGAUACCCUGGUAGUCCACGCCCUAAACGAUGUCAACUAGUUGUUGGUAGAGUAAAAUCUAUGAGUAACGCAGCUAACGCGUGAAGUUGACCGCCUGGGGAGUACGAUCGCAAGAUUAAAACUC
rnacentral:rRNA from 1 species